rnacentral:rRNA from 1 species
UACGAAGGGUGCAAACGUUGCUCGGAAUUAUUGGGCGUAAAGCGCACGUAGGCGGUUUUUCAAGUCGGAUGUGAAAUCCUUAGGCUCAACCAAAGAAGUGCAUUCGAAACUGAGAGACUUGAGUAUGGAAGGGGGUCGUGGAAUUCCCGGUGUAGAGGUGAAAUUCGUAGAGAUCGGGAGGAACACCAGUGGCGAAGGCGACGACCUGGGCCAAUACUGACGCUGAGGUGCGAAAGCGUGGGGAGCAAACAGG